rnacentral:lncRNA from 1 species
GGAACUGAUGUGAGCAUAGAAAACAUGCAUCAAGGGUUCACGCAUGUCUUUGAGUCCACAUUCGAAAGCACAGAAGGAAUCAAGGAGUACAUUGAGCACCCUGCACAUGUUGAAUUCGCAAAUGAGUUCUUGCCUGUAUUGGAGAAGGCCCUCAUAAUUGAUUACAAACCGACUUCUGUCAAUUAAUGGUGGACUAUGGAGAACCUGGGGGAGCUUUUCUCAAUUCUCAUCAUCAAUAUCCUUGUACUGUUUCUCAGAGAAUUCCAUUUGAUUCUACAAUAUACACUUUGUGUUGAAUAAGUCGGUUCUGCUUGGUUUCCUUGUUGAGAAUAAAUUGAGUUUCCUGUAACUGCAGUUGUAAUAACUUUGAACUUUUUUUUGUUCGUAUCAGAAUUACGUUUCCAAAGACUCCUAUACUGUCUGCUAUCUGUGCAUAUAAGCUCCAGUAGAAGCUGCGAGUGCGUAUUUUUCCUUUUAACCUUUUGAGCAUCAUGAUUGUGAUCAAUUGCGGUCUAAAAUUUAUGAUCCUAUUAUAUAUCUAUGUGCAUUACCUAUUACUUGUCUAGUUGUCUAAUAAAGCGUCUAACAUGGUAUUCCCAGAUGCAUUUUCCGUUCGCUGCUUGGAAGCUGCUGGACGAGAAAUUAACAUGUUUAUGUGACCAUGUCCUUCAGGAAAACACAAACUCAACGAUCUCUGUUUUCUGCAGAUUUACUGUACUGCUGAAACCAAUCGCUCUUAUCCUACUUUAGCAUGUUUUACGUGGUCUGUGGACUGUGGUAAUACCAACCGUGCCAUGCGUAUGAAUUUGGGCUUGACACUUGACAUGAACCAUAUAUUUUGUUCUUUUCGACAGCUUAAAACACUUACACGUUUAAACACCGAAAGCUAAACUUCUAAUGUUUGCUUAUUUGAGCUGCAACUUUUGGACUUUUCUGAAAAGCCGGUGCUACUUUUUUUUAAUGAAAGGCCAACCAUAACUUUUUAGAAUAUGCGUUUAGGUUUUUGUACCAAAAAGCUACGAAAAGCUCAGAAAAUUGAGCUUUUCAGCUUUCAAUAUAAACUCAGGUUUUCUAAACUUCUAACUUUUUGAAAGCUGCAUGAGAAGUUUCUUGUUUGUUUGAGUUUCUAGCUUUUGACACUGAGAAGUUAUCAGGAAGCACAAACAAAUAAGGUCUAAAAAUCACAAUACACUGCUUCAGAUGUGAUCUACCAAGAAUCUCUGCAUUAUGAAACCUGGUGACGACAAUAGCAUAUUGUUGAAUUAGUACGAGUGAGCACUUCCACAGUUCGUUCUAAAAAAAAGCACUUCCACAGUUCCAAGCAUGUCCUGAGCUGACGAAUUCACCUACCUCGGCAUGGAAUGGCCCGUAGACUUUCACUCAAGUAAUAAUUUUUUUUAAAAGGGGAGAGCUUAUACUAAAUUAACAAAACAUGUUUACAAUCAAAAUCUAAAACUGCCGACGCGCAGGCCAAGACACCUUAAGAAACAAAAUCAGAUGAGAGCUCUCUCCUACCAAGCUGUCCUAGUUCAUGAGCCACUCCAUUUGCACUUCGAUCGCACUUUAAAACUUUGAAACACUGGAACAUUCUCAGCAUUUUUUUACUUCUUCAAUGAUGAUGGACCUAGGGGAUCGAUUUAGAGUACCGUCAUUGAACGCUUGUACUGUAAGGCAGUCCAGCUCCAGCCAAAUAGGUCCCAUGAAAACAGAGCAGGCUCUGUUGAUGCCUAUCAAGGCUGCAAGACAUUCAACUUCUUCAGCCGAAGAGCAUAAGCGAUCGCCGCACCAACCUGAAAAGGCAACUUCACCCAAGUGAUUCCUAGCAAUAAAACCUAGACCAGGAUGUUGUGUGUUAGGAUCAAAGCCAGCAUGUUGUGUGCAGGAAUCCGCCGCCAGGCGGUGGUGCCCAUGCCAUGAGCAGGCCAGCAACUUCGAAGGAAACAUGCUGCAAAGCCAAAGGAAUAUGUAUCUCGGCAUAUGUGGCAGUCGGCCCGCGAAACAUUGCGAACCAUGAAAACCGUUCAACCCGGCGGUUCCGAACCGCCUAGCUGACUCCCUCAUGGUUUGGUUGGGUUUUAACCAAUAACCGGUGAAACCGGACCAUGUAGAGGGCUUACCUUUGGGUUUCUCGCGGCCGGCGUUAGGUAGGCGGCCGUCCUACUCGCCACUGAAUAUGAUUGUCUAGAAACUAUUUUAUUAAAAGAAAAAUAUAUGAGAUGCAAUAAUUACUUAAGUAGAAGCAAGUACUACCCAUAUUUGAUGUUGGGUAGUUCAAAAAUAAACUAAGCAAUGUGUGCGUUCGGAGUCAAACGACCUGUUCAGCUGGACUUAUAAGCCGGCUGAAAAGCUGAAACGGCUGAUUUGUUGUGAGAGAAAAACACUGUUCGGUGGCUGAUAAGCCGGCUGAUAGGUUGAAGCGAACAGGCUUAAAGAAUUUUAUCAAACGUCUUCACCUUGGUAUUACUAAAAUCCUCCCCCCAUCUUUAAAUAUAAGAUGUUAGUAAUUGUCCUUAACAUCAUAUAACGGAGGGAGGAGGGAGGUAGUCUGUGCGAUGGACCACCCGAUCCGACCCGCACAAGUUCAGGCUGGAACCGGAUCCGGCCAGUUCGCUGCAGGUCAACUCACGAUGAUCCUAGAAUCGUCCACCUCGUGAUCGGCGAAUCCGCUGUCUACGCGCUAAACUGCCCGGGAGUAACGAUCCGGUCACCAAAUCAUCUCAGCUCGAGCAAUUCGCUCUCACCACGUAUAAAGCAGUGGCCAAGAAGCCAAGCCAAGCAGCAGCAGAGCAUCCUACCUACCACGACCAAACAGAGGAGGUGAGGGGCCUCGAGCGAAGAAGCCCGGAGGCAUGGCGGCUGGUGGCGGCGGCGGCGUGGUGAAGCACAUCCUGCUGGCGCGCUUCAAGGAGGACGUGACGCCGGAGCGAUUGGACCAGCUCAUCCGGGGCUACGACAGGCUCGUGGGCGUUGUCCCCCCCAUGAAGGCCUUCCACUGGUAAAGCGCGCUGCACCCACCUACCCACCUCCAGGACGACUUGAGAUCUCAACACGAUUCCAUUGCUGGCUGUUCACUGUUGUGUAUGCGGUAUGCCUCUGCUUCCUGUGGGCGAUUAGUAUCUACCUGUUUGGGCGCCGUCCCUGUGAGACUCCGUGAGGACUACGCACCCAAGGUGCUCGAGGAAUUGGCUGACUGCCUGGCUUAGUUUAUCUUGACUGAAACAUGAUUUGGCAUUUUGUGUUUCCCCGUGCACGAUCAGUGACUGCGAUCGAUGGCCCUGUGAUUUCUCCUAGUUCCCUGGUCCAGAUAUCCAUAGCUGAUUUAACUAAAUAAUAGCCAAACCAGCAUGUACUACUAGGUGCCUACCACCUCUAUUUCUUAUCCCAGAGCAUAUUACAACGAACAAUAUUGAUAUUUUCUAGGGAGAGAUUUACAUGUAUUCUCCAGACAACAGUCUUAUCUAUUUGUCAAAUUCAAAAAGUUUGUGCAUCUGCAAGAUCAUAUGAAAGUGAAAUUGCGAAAAAGUUAUAGUAGUAGUCUCAUUGUUUCACGCAUGAUUGCUACUCCGUUGUUUCAAGCUGUACGCUUCCUUAUGUGCACUUUGAUUUGCAGGGGAACUGAUGUGAGCAUAGAAAACAUGCAUCAAGGGUUCACGCAUGUCUUUGAGUCCACAUUCGAAAGCACAGAAGGAAUCAAGGAGUACAUUGAGCACCCUGCACAUGUUGAAUUCGCAAAUGAGUUCUUGCCUGUAUUGGAGAAGGCCCUCAUAAUUGAUUACAAACCGACUUCUGUCAAUUAAUGGUGGACUAUGGAGAACCUGGGGGAGCUUUUCUCAAUUCUCAUCAUCAAUAUCCUUGUACUGUUUCUCAGAGAAUUCCAUUUGAUUCUACAAUAUACACUUUGUGUUGAAUAAGUCGGUUCUGCUUGGUUUCCUUGUUGAGAAUAAAUUGAGUUUCCUGUAACUGCAGUUGUAAUAACUUUGAACUUUUUUUUGUUCGUAUCAGAAUUACGUUUCCAAAGACUCCUAUACUGUCUGCUAUCUGUGCAUAUAAGCUCCAGUAGAAGCUGCGAGUGCGUAUUUUUCCUUUUAACCUUUUGAGCAUCAUGAUUGUGAUCAAUUGCGGUCUAAAAU